rnacentral:lncRNA from 1 species
CCCACUUUCAUUUUCUAUGUUCAGUGGACCGUGAAAUUGGUGUUAAAAGUCUAAUUUGGCUUUAAAAUUAGAAAGAUCAUAUCAUAAGCAACAAGUGUACUAAGUUUCAAGUUGAUUGGACUUCAGCUUCAUCAAAAACUACCUUGACCAAAAACUUUACCCUGAACGGACGCACAGACGGACGAACGAACAGAGCCACAGACCAGAAAACAUAAUGCCCCUCUACUAUCGUAGGUGGGGCAUAAAAAU